rnacentral:rRNA from 1 species
UACAGAGGGGGCAAGCGUUGUUCGGAAUUACUGGGCGUAAAGGGCGCGUAGGCGGCCUGCUAAGUCGAACGUGAAAUCCCCGGGCUCAACCUGGGAACUGCAUCCGAGACUGCAUUGCUAGAGUAUGGGAGAGGAAAGCGGAAUUUCUGGUGUAGCAGUGAAAUGCGUAGAUAUCAGAAGGAACACCGGUGGCGAAGGCGGGUCUCUGGGCCGAUACUGACGCUGAGGAGCGAAAGCGUGGGGAGCGAACAGG